GUGCCAGCAGCUGCGGUUAUACAAAAAAUACAAGUAAAUUUUAUUAAAUUAAGUUAAAUUGAUAAAUAUUUAAUAAUAAAAAAAUUUUUAGGUGAAAUUUUAAUUUUUUUAUUUUUAAAAUUAAAAGAAAUGUUGAAGCUAAAAAAUUUUGUUAAUAAACUAGGAUUAGAUACCCUAUUAUAAAAAAAUGUAUUUUUAAAAAAUUAGAGUAGUAAUAGUUAUGGUCUUGAAACUCAAAAAAUUUGGCGGUAUUUUAGUCUAUUCAGAGGAACCUGUGGUGUAAUCGAUAAUCCACGAUGAAUCUUACUUAUUUUUGUUUUUCAAUUUGUAUACCGCCGUUAUUUAAAAAUUUUUUGAAAAUAAUAAUUUUUAUAAUUUUUUAUUAAAUAAAAAGUCAGGUCAAGGUGCAGUUUAUAUUUAAGUAUUUCAUGGGUUACAAUAAAUUUAUUUAUACGGAUUAAAUUAUGAAAUUAGUUUAUGAAGGGGGAUUUGGUAGUAAAUUUUUAAAGAUUAAAAAAUUGAUUUUAGCUCUAAAAUAUG
rnacentral:rRNA from 2 species